CCUUAGUAGCGGCGAGUGAGCGGCAAAAGCUCAAAUUUGAAAUCUGGCUCUUUCAGAGUCCGAGUUGUAAUUUGAAGAAGGUAUCUUUGGGCCUGGCUCUUGUCUAUGUUUCUUGGAACAGAACGUCACAGAGGGUGAGAAUCCCGUGCGAUGAGAUGACCCAGGUCCGUGUAAAGUUCCUUCGACGAGUCGAGUUGUUUGGGAAUGCAGCUCUAAGUGGGUGGUAAAUUCCAUCUAAAGCUAAAUAUUGGCGAGAGACCGAUAGCGAACAAGUACAGUGAUGGAAAGAUGAAAAGAACUUUGAAAAGAGAGUGAAAAAGUACGUGAAAUUGUUGAAAGGGAAGGGCUUGAGAUCAGACUUGGCAUUUUGCAUGUUGCUUCUUCGGGGGCGGCCUCUGCGGUUUGUCGGGCCAGCAUCAGUUUGGGCGGCAGGACAAUCGCGUGGGAAUGUGGCACGGCCUCGGCUGUGUGUUAUAGCCCGCGUGGAUACUGCCAGCCUAGACUGAGGACUGCGGUUUAUACCUAGGAUGUUGGCAUAAUGAUCUUAAGUCGCCCGUCUUGGCAA
rnacentral:rRNA from 1 species